GCACAUUUUAAUAUAGUUAGAAUUUUCUCUCUCUUGGUUCCCUGAAUUGCCAAUGCUUUGUAGCACUCGUCCAUUUCUAAUACAUUUGCAAAUCCAAAAGAGAAGGUUAAAAAUACGAAGAUCUUCAGUUCUAAAUUGGCUGUGUGUCUUAUUUGGAUCAAUCCUAAUUUCUGCGCUCACAUCUAUUCUGUGGACCUCCAACGCAUGGGAAGAAAUGUGCAUCUGAAGAACUGAUCUUGCAUCACUGAAUAGCUUACAUUGACCCAUAUAUGUAAUUUACUUUUUGUGACAGAUUGAAUAUUGAUAGCAUUUAUUUUAAUGAUUGUUUCAGGACUCCAUCUGUGAGACAACAAAGCAGAACAGAAGCUUUUCAAAAUAAGAAGGGAAGCUUAAGCCUUUGAUGUAUGUGGCAAGCCUGUCAGCGAUGAGAAAGACAUGUCAGAGGCAGCAUUGUCAUUGUCAAAGUGGGAAGCACGCAAAGUGAGAUGCUGGCAUGUGACAUGCUUGUCACUGCAGGUGCCAUAAACUGAGCAGUGCAUACCAGCCAGGCAUAUUUUAUUGUUGAUGCAAAAGAUGUGAUCAUGCUCUUGGUGGACUUCCUCUCACCUAUUUUCAGCCAUUUAAAAUUGACAUGUGAUUGUAAAUCAGCUGUCUAGACACUUGCUACAGUCCAUGGAUACAGAAGGAUGCUUCCAGAAGAUAAAUCCUCUCACUUAUCUUGGAUACCUAUUUUGGGAUGGGAUGAGUCUCUCUCCUGACAUGACUACCUUAUCCGAAACUAUGAAGGAAGUCUAUACAAAAAGCUUACACCAAUCACCUAACUUUUACAAGAGGCUGAAGAAUCUCACCCCCACAUCUUUGUUACAGUAUUAAUAGAUUAAAAUGUAUACAUGUGAAUGACUAACCUACAUUUGAAGCCCACAUUUUUUCAGGAGCUUCAAGUUAACCACCUAAAUAGAAGUGACCUCAGUUUCAGAAGUGCUGAAGACCUUUGAUUCUCCCUAAUACUAUGGAAAUUGGGCACAAUGCCUUUGAAGUAGAAAACACAUUAUUAAUAGGGAAUGAUUGGAAUAACUAAUAUUUCACAUAGUAUUUUGUAUAUUUGGGGCACAGUGAAAAAGCCUCCUGCCAUCUGAAGUGAAUAUUGGGUAUUGUCUGUGCCUCUAUGAGCCAUUACCUUUGUUUCUGAAUCCACUGGCAACCAGUGUCCUGCUAGGAGGCAUGCUGCUAGCAUCCACACUUCCAGCCUGCCAUGCAGAGCCAGAUGCUGGAACAAAGAAAGAACCCAGGAGCAGGCUGGUUUUGUGCAAGUGUGGCAAGAAAUCUAUGAAUAGGAAGUGAAAAGAAGACAGAACACUGGAAGGGGCAAUAUUGGGCAUACCUCAGUUACCAUUCAACUGUCCAGCUAAAAGCUACUCUGAAACAGCUUUAUGAAGAGCACCAAAAAAAAACAACAAAGGAGUUUUUUCUAAAGGUAAUUCUGCUGUGUGCAGCCUGUGCGUUGCAUGGGUACAAUCCUGAGCAAAAUCAAAGACCAGGAGCAUGUGAGCACCAGUAAAGCUAAGGACUAGACAUGGCUCUUCGCACCUGGAAAAGUCUCAUAUCCCUUGCACACCUGAUUCCAUCCUCUGGCCAGAAGGUACAAAAAAGGACUGAGAACUGGCUUCGGAUUCCAGCAAUGUCUUUAUCAUCCUCUCUAAUCAGUGUCUGUUAUGAAUGCUAAAGAAUUGAUGACCCCACCAAUAAACGCCUAUUACUACAAAGGCCAUGCCGGAGGGCAGACUCCUCCUCUCAAGAUCUGCUGGGUGAAUGAGAUAUAAAUGGCAGCAAUGGGGGACUGUGUCAGCUGCAAUGAAGAUAAGUUAUUUCAGAGAAACCUCCUGUGAACUCUGUCUGUAUGUGCAAUAAGGCCAAUGAGUAUCCUGCACAGUCCAUUUAUGAACAAAAGAGCACCAGUUGUUAGUCUGCAUUCUUCACUCAAGUAAGGCAAAACUCUCUUCCUCCCUCUUCCCCUCUCUGCCAGAAAAAAGAGGAUACAUUCAGUUUUGGUCAAGAAACAUUUUUUCUGGUGAAAGAACUCUUCCCUCAAAAACAGCAUAUUUUUUGUUGGUCAGCCCAACACAUUUUGUUCAAUCUGAAAAAAUAUAUAUUUUUUAUGUUGGGCGGUAUUUAAUUUGAUUCCCCUGGAAACACAAGUAUUGGUACAAACCUUGUUAUAGAGCCCCUUAAAAGAAGCAGGUUCUGUGUGUUAUAGAAGCAUCAUUCAAAUGGCCUACUUCCACCUUUCACUGGCCAAUGGCCUCUGCAGCUCUAUUCAAAUUUGUUAACCUCUGAGAUAAAUGAUCUCUUUCAUCCACUUUUUUACAAGUACAAAGUGUGUUGUGUUAAUGUAAGAGAGAUUUUUUUUCCUUCAGAGUACUGCAGAUGACAGUCAUUAAUCCAGGCAGGGCUGAUACCAGAGAGGAGCAAAAUUAGUGUUUUCCCCUGACACAUGAAAAAGAUUAGUUGUCUUGACUGAGCUUUAGAAGAACUAAAGUUCGGUUUCAGUCUUCUUUCAUUAAAAAUUCUAGUGUGUUCAUUACACGUACUCAUAUAUACAAUCUAUUAUGGGACAGCAUGCCCGAAACAUAUUAGGGGGUAAAGAUCUGUCAGCAAACCAGUUUUUCAUGGGUUUAAAACUCAGGCACUAUAAAUCAUACCAGGCUAAAGUCUUGGCAUAUUUUUGUCAUGGUAGAUGCAGAAGGGUUUUUUUUUUUUUUUUUUUUUUUUAAACAAUGAGGAAUAAUGAUCACAUCAGUAAUUUUAGUUAAAAAGCAGAAAACAAAGUAUGUAUAUAUAAAUAUAUUUGACAGUUUCAUUAGCUUUCUGGUCAAAAAAAUGGUAGAUUAAAUACUCUAUGAGCCCUCCUGUCCCUUUCUAUUGCUAACUAAUUAUCCAUACAGAUUAAGGUCAAAGUUUGGGAUAUGCUCGACAUAAAAUAUCUGAAGUGAGGUUGAUCUUCAAAAAAUCAUGAGCCUCCCCUUUUGAAAAAUAUCAACUACUUUUAAAGUGUGCAUGACAGCGUGCAUCAAAAUCACCAGUGGCAUCUGAAAUAAAAAGAUCUCUCCUUUUUCCUCUGU